GAGCUUGCUCUUAUGGGUGGCGAGUGGCGGACGGGUGAGGAAUACAUCGGAAUCUACUUUUUCGUGGGGGAUAACGUAGGGAAACUUACGCUAAUACCGCAUACGACCUACGGGUGAAAGCAGGGGAUCUUCGGACCUUGCGCGAUUGAAUGAGCCGAUGUCGGAUUAGCUAGUUGGCGGGGUAAAGGCCCACCAAGGCGACGAUCCGUAGCUGGUCUGAGAGGAUGAUCAGCCACACUGGAACUGAGACACGGUCCAGACUCCUACGGGAGGCAGCAGUGGGGAAUAUUGGACAAUGGGCGCAAGCCUGAUCCAGCCAUACCGCGUGGGUGAAGAAGGCCUUCGGGUUGUAAAGCCCUUUUGUUGGGAAAGAAAUCCAGCCGGUUAAUACCUGGUUGGGAUGACGGUACCCAAAGAAUAAGCACCGGCUAACUUCGUGCCAGCAGCCGCGGUAAUACGAAGGGUGCAAGCGUUACUCGGAAUUACUGGGCGUAAAGCGUGCGUAGGUGGUUGUUUAAGUCUGUUGUGAAAGCCCUGGGCUCAACCUGGGAACUGCAGUGGAAACUGGACAACUAGAGUGUGGUAGAGGGUAGCGGAAUUCCCGGUGUAGCAGUGAAAU
rnacentral:rRNA from 1 species